CUCCAGACUCCUACGGGAGGCAGCAGUGGGGGAUAUUGCACAAUGGGGGGAACCCUGAUGCAGCGACGCCACGUGGGUGAAGAAGCGCCUCGGCGCGUAAAGCCCUGUCAGCAGGGAAGAAAAUGACGGUACCUGAAGAAGAAGCCCCGGCUAACUCCGUGCCAGCAGCCGCGGUAAUACGUAGGGGGCAAGCGUUAUCCGGAUUUACUGGGUGUAAAGGGAGCGUAGACGGUGAAGCAAGUCUGAAGUGAAAGGCGGGGGCUCAACCCCCGAACUGCUUUGGAAACUGUUUGACUGGAGUGCAGGAGAGGUAAGUGGAAUUCCUAGUGUAGCGGUGAAAUGCGUAGAUAUUAGGAGGAACACCAGUGGCGAAGGCGGCUUACUGGACUGUAACUGACGUUGAGGCUCGAAAGCGUGGGGAGCAAACAGGAUUAGAUACCCGCGUAGCA
rnacentral:rRNA from 1 species